GCCUAGUUAAGCUUAGUUGGUAGUGCGUCUGCCUUGUAAGCGCUAGGCCGCGGGUUCGAUUCCCGCCCGGGGCG
rfam:Asian citrus Psyllid, Diaphorina citri - Florida Strain, whole genome shotgun sequence.